ACUCCUACGGGAGGCAGCAGUGGGGAAUAUUGCACAAUGGGCGAAAGCCUGAUGCAGCAACGCCGCGUGAGUGAUGAAGGCCUUCGGGUUGUAAAGCUCUGUCUUUGGGGACGAUAAUGACGGUACCCAAGGAGGAAGCCACGGCUAACUACGUGCCAGCAGCCGCGGUAAUACGUAGGUGGCAAGCGUUGUCCGGAUUUACUGGGCGUAAAGGAUGCGUAGGUGGAUAUGCAAGUCAGAUAUGAAAUACCCGGGCUUAACUCGGGUGCUGCAUUUGAAACUAUAUAUCUAGAGUGCAGGAGAGGUAAGUGGAAUUCCUAGUGUAGCGGUGAAAUGCGUAGAGAUUAGGAAGAACACCAGUGGCGAAGGCGACUUACUGGACUGUAACUGACACUGAGGCAUGAAAGCGUGGGGAGCAAACAGGAUUAGAUACCCUGGUAGUCCACGCCGUAAACGAUGGGUACUAGGUGUAGGGGGUAUCGACUCCCUCUGUGCCGCAGUUAACACAAUAAGUACCCCGCCUGGGGAGUACGGUCGCAAGAUUAAAACUCAAAGGAAUUGACGGGGACCCGCACAAGCAGCGGAGCAUGUGGUUUAAUUCGAAGCAACGCGAAGAACCUUACCUAGACUUGACAUCUCCUGAAUAACCUAGAGAUA
rnacentral:rRNA from 1 species